rnacentral:rRNA from 1 species
GACGAACGCUGGCGGCGUGCUUAACACAUGCAAGUCGAACGGAAAGGCCCUGCUUUUGUGGGGUGCUCGAGUGGCGAACGGGUGAGUAACACGUGAGUAACCUGCCCUUGACUUUGGGAUAACUUCAGGAAACUGGGGCUAAUACCGGAUAGGAGCUCCUGCUGCAUGGUGGGGGUUGGAAAGUUUCGGCGGUUGGGGAUUGACUCGCGGCUUAUCAGCUUGUUGGUUGGGUAGUGGCUUACCAAGGCUUUGACGGGUAGCCGGCCUGAGAGGGUGACCGGCGUCAUUGGGAGUGAGAGGCGGCCCAGACUCGUACGGGAGGAAGCAGUGGGGAAUAUUGCACAAUGGGCGGAAGCCUGAUGCAGCAACGCCGCGUGCGGGAUGACGGCCUUCGGGUUGUAAACCGCUUUCGCCUGUGACGAAGCGUGAGUGACGGUAAUGGGUAAAGAAGCACCGGCUAACUACGUG